ACGCUCGACACCUACGGGAUGCAGCAGUCGGGAAUAUUGCGCAAUGGAGGAAACUCUGACGCAGUGACGCCGCGUGCAGGAAGAAGGUUUUCGGAUUGUAAACUGCUUUAGACAGGGAAGAAAGAAAUGACAGUACCUGUAGAAUAAGCUCCGGCUAACUACGUGCAGCAGCCGCGGUAAUCUGAGCGGGCUGGCAAGGC
rnacentral:rRNA from 1 species